rnacentral:rRNA from 1 species
UACGGAGGGUGCAAGCAUUGAUCGGAAUUACUGGGCGUAAAGGGCGCGCAGGCGGUCAGGGAAGUCAGAUGUGAAAUUUCGGGGCUCAACCUCGGGACUGCAUUUGAGACUUUUUGGCUAGAGUUUAGUUAGGGAAAACGGAAUUCCACGUGUAGCGGUGAAAUGCGUAGAUAUGUGGAAGAACACCGGUGGUGAAGACGGUUUUCUGGGCUGAUACUGACGCUGAGGCGCGAAAGCAAGGGGAG